GCAGCAGGAUCUUGAACUACAGCCCUGAACCACUGCCACCACCCCCAAUAUCUCCCAGCUGAGUUACUCAGUGAUCUACAUUUCUGGCCCCGGCCAGGACGCAGAGAUCCCAGGCCCUGACAGGUGGCUGAGCAACCCCAGGCGCUUGCCUGAAGUCCCGCCAAGCCCCGGCAUCUGGGCUGAGAGGCUGAUCUGCUGGAUGUGCUCACAGAGAUGUGACACCCCUCCUCCAGCUCGGGAUCUUCACUCAGACCUGCCACCGCUGCAUCUUCUAACAGGUAGAACAUCAGUCCUUAACGUGAGCACCUCCUGGAGAGGAUGCCUAGGAUUUCUUCAUGGCAGGGUUAAAUGUAUUGCACUUCCAGAAAUGUUUUAUCACCAUCCUAAACAGCUCUGUAAGCUGUUCUGGACAUGCACCCCUAAAACAGCUGUGUCAACACAAAACAUGCACUCAACCAUCAAAGAGAACUGAAAUGAUGCUCCUGGGUACUGACAGAUUAAUCCUAUGCACUUCCUCCCAGCCCUGGGAUUAUGUCUGAUUCUUAUCCACUGAAAAUUUACUGGAAAAUACAUAAGGGCUAGAGCAGGAGUAAUACACAGGAGCAGAGACCAGAUCAAGGGCUUUCCGUCCCCAUUAACUACUCUAGUGAUUAGGCUGCAGAACCCAGUUCCUACCUGCUCUUUUUCUGUCUGCAGACACCUGGCAUCCUCUGGUGCAUGGUAGCAUAACUCUUGCAGGAGGAGAUGUCUUCUUGAAAAUUCGUGUUCAUGUGGACUGAGGACUAGUUUGGGGUCAAGUGUGCUAAUCACUGGACUGCUGGGGAAGUCUGCCAUUGGUAAUGUGUUUGAAAAUCAGGUAUACUGUAUUUUGUGAGAUAUCCACACCACUCUGCUUCCUUUCUGGAUUUGCUGGAGCUCAGGCAGUAAGUAGGCAGCUCAAAUGAAGGCAAAUGUUUAGGGAGCUUUUGGACAUUGCUGCUGGGAGACAUGCAUGUACAGGCCUUGAGCAGCAUUUCCAGAGCAUUUCUAACACACUGGCUUACUGAAUAUGCAAUGCAUAAAUGACAGUCACAUGUGCAGUAAGUGAUUGCCCCAACCAAACUGAGAAUCAUCUAGAAAUUUUAAUCCCAAAUCCUCAAACUUCACCUGGGUAAGUGCUUCAGGUGGAAUAAGAGGGUAUUUCUGGUGACAAUUGGACAGAGAAUUGCCCUAUUUGCAGGACAUGAUGGCUGCAGGGUGGAAGAGUUUAGAUCAAAAUCUCAGACUUAAGAAUUUUCUGGUUAGACCCCCAGGAGCUCCUGGCGGGGAAGCACUGAGCAACAGCUGAAACAGAAGAAUCCCGCUGAGAUCAAUGCAGAGAAUUGCGAAGAAUGAUGGCAGAACUGGCUUCUGGUUUCUGGUGUCUGAGCCCUCAAUGAAGCCAGGAGGCAGCUGCUAUCACACACCUCAUGUUGUCUUCUCACAUUAGCUCUACAACAAGCCACUGUGCAGCCUGGAGGGAAGUGGAGACGGGAGGUGUGCAAGGUGUUAUGUCGGGACACUUUGGUACCUUUCUCAUGAGUGUGGCAAUGCUGAUUCUGCAGACCUGGGGCUCACAUUAGCCUCAGCAUUGUGUGUGACCCUCCAAACUCUGCAGAGGUCUUCACAAAGAAGUAUGAAACUACAGAGCACUGCUGACAGGGAUCCUGGGGAAGCCAGAAAGGAAAGGGCACGGGAAGACCCCCAAAACUAUAUAAAGGAACAGGAUAUCCCUACUGAGGAACAAUUCAUGCAUGAAUCAGUUAGUAAAGAUUUGAAGUCUAUCUGAUGGUUUCAGCAGAGAUUUAAGAAAAAAGGUGUGCCCAGCUUGGCUGAGGGGAAGGUUGUAGGCUGCUGCAUUGAGGAAGAAGUAUUAUUUUGAGUUUUCCUCUGUACCAAGAGGCAAAAAAGAGAGGGAGUUCUGGGCUCCCUCUUGGGUCAUCCUUACCCAAUCUCAGCGCUGUAGCAUCGGUCUCCGGCUGAGCUCACAGACACCUCCCGGAGAGUAUAACUGCUUGCCUGCAGAAGUAAGAUACACUUUACCUGUGGAUGUCAAGAGCAACUUGAGACCUAUUUUCUGGAAUUUAUUUAGUCAUCUGAAGAGGCCAAUUAGACAUAUAGUGAUGCUGCCACCUACCUAUGUAUUCAGAUACUUAAAUCCUGCAGCCCUUAGGCUGUGUUCUCUUGCGUGCAUUCUCUUGUAGUUGCAUCCAUGCUUGUUAAAAAGAUUAUGACAGCCUGCCCACAGCUGCUCUUCAGUCCCCUGCUAAGGCUGCCAGCACCCUAGGUCCUCCUGAUUGAUCUGUUGGCAUGAGCAGAUCCAAAAGCACUCCAGUCUAAAGGAGAGGGACAAGAAAGGACCUGCUGUUUAGGCCACUUAAACUAACAUGGUUUAUGUCAAAUCAACCCAAAGCUCUGUUCAGAACUCAAACUAAAUCUAAUUUUCAUUGGCAUUUGGGAAGAAAUUAUCACUUUUAUAUUUACCUCAGUACUUGGUGCAAAAUAGCAGAGCUAUGAUCUAAACUCUACUAAAAGCUGUAAACUCAGAGAGGUUACAACUAUUUGCACUAGUAAAAUGGAAACUUGUUUUAUAAAUGCUAGAAUGAAAUAGGAAAGUUUGUAUCAUGGUGUUUCCAGGCUGACUGCAAUUACUGUGUUUUCUUAAAAUUUUCAGCCCUCAGAUGAGCAAACAAAUUCUUCAUACUUUUACAGCAGAAUAAAUCAACAUUUACUAAAUGGGAAGGAUAUGAGGUUAGGUUCAGCAUGCAGAAUCUCAAACAUGACAUUCACAUAUGGGCACACAUUUGUCAAUAGCCAGGGACAUGCCUUGUGCAUCCAGGCAGUGUAGCACAAUGGGGGCUUUUCAUACCAUUAUCCUGUGUAUGAAAUGUAGAUGGUGA